rnacentral:rRNA from 1 species
ACGAAGUCUUCGGACUUAGUGGCGGACGGGUGAGUAACACGUGGGAACGUACCUUUUGGUUCGGGAUAACGCAGGGAAACUUGCGCUAAUACCGAAUGUGCUCUUCGGAGGAAAGAUUUAUCGCCAUUAGAGCGGCCCGCGUUGGAUUAGGUAGUUGGUGGGGUAAAGGCCCACCAAGCCUACGAUCCAUAGCUGGUCUGAGAGGAUGAUCAGCCACACUGGGACUGAGACACGGCCCAGACUCCUACGGGAGGCAGCAGUGGGGAAUCUUGCGCAAUGGUCGAAAGACUGACGCAGCCAUGCCGCGUGAAUGAUGAAGGUCUUAGGAUUGUAAAAUUCUUUUACCAGGGACGAUAAUGACGGUACCUGGAGAAAAAGCCCCGGCUAACUUCGUGCCAGCAGCCGCGGUAAU